UACGGAGGAUGCGAGCGUUAAUCGGAAUUACUGGGCGUAAAGCGCGCGUAGGCUGUUGUGUAAGUUGGGGGUGAAAUCCCACGGCUCAACCGUGGAACAGCCCUUGAUACUGCGCGACUUGAAUCCGGGAGAGGGUGGCGGAAUUCCAGGUGUAGGAGUGAAAUCCGUAGAUAUCUGGAGGAACACCGGUGGCGAAGGCGGCCACCUGGACGACAACUGACGCUGAGGCACGAAGGCCAGGGGAGCGAAAGGG
rnacentral:rRNA from 1 species